GACGAACGCUGGCGGCAUGCUUAACACAUGCAAGUCGAACGAAAACUUCGGGCUUAGUGGCGCACGGGUGCGUAAACCGUGGGAACAUGCCCUUAGGUUCGGAAUAACUCCCCGAGAGAGGUCCUAAUAACUGAUACUAUCUCCGGACCAAAGCGUUGUCGCCUUUGGAUGGGCCCGCGUUGGAUUAGUUAGUUGGUAGGUUACAAGCCUACCAAGGCGACGAUCCGUAGCUGGUCUGCGAGGGGGAACAGGCAGACUGGGACUGAGACGCGGCCCAGACGCCUACGGGAGGCAGCAGUGGUGGAUAAUGGACAAUGGGCGAAAGCCUGAGCCAGCGAUGCCGCGUGAGUGAUGAAGGCCUUAUGGUUGUAAAGCUCUUGUACCCGAGAUGAUAAUGACAGUACCGGGAGAAUAAGCUCCGGCUAACUCCGUG
rnacentral:rRNA from 1 species